rnacentral:rRNA from 1 species
AACAUUUCUUUUUGAUUAUUUAAAAAGUAAAGUCUGCCCACUGUAUUUAAUAAAGGGCCGCGGUAUUUUGACCGUGCAAAGGUAGCAUAAUCAUUAGUCUUUUGAUUGGGGAAUGGAAUGAAUGGCUUAAUGAUUUUUUUCUUUUAUUUAUAUUAAAAUUGUAAAUUUGAUUUUAAGUGAAAAUACUUAAAUUUUUUAGUUAGACGAUAAGACCCUGUAGAAUUUUAUUUUUAUUAUUUUUAUAAUAAUUAUAUAAAAAUUUAAAUGGGGCAUUUUUUGAAUAAAAAUAAUUUCUUAAAGUUUUUAAAAAAUAUCUUUCUUUUUAGAGUAUAAAAAAAUUACCUUAGGGAUAACAGCGUAAUAAUUUUUGAGAGUUCAUAUCGACAAAAUUGUUUGCGACCUCGAUGUUGAAUUAAAAUACCUUUGUAAAGCAGCUUUUAUAUAAGGUAGUCUGUUCGACUAUAAAAUUUUUACAUGAUUUGAUU